CCUACGGGUGGCAGCAGUGAGGAAUAUUGGUCAAUGGGCGCGAGCCUGAACCAGCCAAGUAGCGUGAAGGAUGACUGCCCUACGGGUUGUAAACUUCUUUUAUAAGGGAAUAAAGUGUGGGACGUGUCCUAUUUUGUAUGUACCUUAUGAAUAAGGAUCGGCUAACUCCGUGCCAGCAGCCGCGGUAAUACGGAGGAUCCGAGCGUUAUCCGGAUUUAUUGGGUUUAAAGGGUGCGUAGGCGGCCUUUUAAGUCAGGGGUGAAAGUCUGUGGCUCAACCAUAGAAUUGCAGUUGAGACUGGCAGGCUUGAGUAUAGUUGAGGCAGGCGGAAUGCGUGGUGUAGCGGUGAAAUGCUUAGAUAUCACGCAGAACCCCGAUUGCGAAGGCAGCCUACCAAGC
rnacentral:rRNA from 1 species